AAAGAAUACACCACGAGGACCAUUUGACUGUCCCCUCUGGCUCCUGCAUCUUGCUUCCAGCAUGAACAGACAGGUUUCAUUUGAGAGGAUCUGGCCCAGUGUUUUUGAAAGUUGGCUCACAGAACAGAAGCUCUGGAGUCCCCUAAAGUCUGUGGAACCCAA
rnacentral:lncRNA from 1 species